CCUAGUGAUAGGUAUACUUUAGGAGGGGCUUGCGCCAUAUUAGUUAGUUGGUAGGGUAAUGGCCUACCAAGACGAUGAUGUGUAGCUGGACUGAGAGGUUGAACAGCCACAUUGGGACUGAGACACGGCCCAAACUCCUACGGGAGGCAGCAGUAGGGAAUUUUCGGCAAUGGAGGAAACUCUGACCGAGCAACGCCGCGUGAACGACGAAGUACUUUGGUAUGUAAAGUUCUUUUAUCAAGGAAGAAAAGCAAGUGGUGAACCAUUUGUUUGCCGGUACUUGAUGAAUAAGCCCCGGCUAAUUAUGUGCCAGCAGCCGCGGUAAGACAUAAGGGGCAAGUGUUAUCCGGAAUUAUUGGGCGUAAAGGGUGCGUAGGCGGUCUAGUAAGUCAGUGGUGUAAUGGCAACGCUCAACGUUGUCCGGCUAUUGAAACUGCUAAACUUGAGUUAGAUAGAGGCGAGUGGAAUUCCAUGUGUAGCGGUAAAAUGCGUAAAUAUAUGGAGGAACACCAGAGGCGUAGGCGGCUCGCUGGGUCUUAACUGACGCUGAGGCACGAAAGCGUGGGGAGCAAACAGGAUUAGAUACCCUGGUAGUCCACGCCGUAAACGAUGAGUACUAAGUGUCGGGUUAAACCGGUACUGAAGUUAACACAUUAAGUACUCCGCCUGAGUAGUACGUACGCAAGUAUGAAACUUAAAGGAAUUGACGGGACUCCGCACAAGCGGUGGAUCAUGUUGUUUAAUUCGAAGAUACCCGAAAAACCUUACCAGGUCUUGACAUGUUUUUGCGAAACGGUAGUAAUAUCGUGGAGGUUAUCAGAAACACAGGUGGUGCAUGGUUGUCGUCAGCUCGUGUCGUGAGAUGUUAGGUUAAGUCCUAAAACGAGCGAAACCCUUAUCGUUAGUUGCCAGCACGUUAUGGUGGGGACUUUAACGAGACUGCCAGUGAUAAAUUGGAGGAAGGUGAGGAUCACGUCAAAUCAGCAUGCCCCUUAUGACCUGGGCUACAAACGUGAUACAAUGGCUGUUACAAAGGGUAGCUGAAACGCAAGUUCUUGGCCAAUCCCCAAAAACAGUCUCAGUCCGGAUUGAAGUCUGCAACUCG
rnacentral:rRNA from 1 species